rnacentral:rRNA from 1 species
GACGAACGCUGGCGGCGUGCCUAAUACAUGCAAGUCGAGCGGAUGAAAGAGGAGCUUGCUCCUCUAGAUUCAGCGGCGGACGGGUGAGUAACACGUGGGCAACCUGCCCUGUAGAUUGGGAUAACUCCGGGAAACCGGGGCUAAUACCGAAUAAUCCUUCGGACCUCAUGGUCCGAUGUUGAAAGACGGUUUCGGCUGUCACUACAGGAUGGGCCCGCGGCGCAUUAGCUAGUUGGUGAGGUAACGGCUCACCAAGGCCACGAUGCGUAGCCGGCCUGAGGGGGUGAUCGGCCACACUGGGACUGAGACACGGCCCAGACUCCUACGGGAGGCAGCAGUAGGGAAUCUUCCACAAUGGACGAAAGUCUGAUGGAGCAACGCCGCGUGAGUGAAGAAGGUUCUCGGAUCGUAAAACUCUGUUGUGAGGGAAGAACAAGUACCGGAGUAACUGCCGGUGCCUUGACGGUACCUCAUUAGAAAGCCACGGCUAACUACGUGCCAGCAGCCGCCGUAACAC